UGCCAGACUCCUACGGGAGGCAGCAGUGAGGAAUAUUGGUCAAUGGGCGGAAGCCUGAACCAGCCAAGUCGCGUGAGGGACUAAGGCCCUGCGGGUCGUAAACCUCUUUUGCCGGGGAGCAGUGGUCCGGACGCGUCCGGACCGGGAGAGUACCCGGAGAAAAAGCAUCGGCUAACUCCGUGCCAGCAGCCGCGGUAAUACGGAGGAUCCGAGCGUUAUCCGGAUUUAUUGGGUUUAAAGGGAGCGUAGAUGGGUUGUUAAGUCAGUUGUGAAAGUUUGCGGCUCAACCGUAAAAUUGCAAUUGAUACUGGCAGCCUUGAGUACAGUUGAGGUAGGCGGAAUUCGUGGUGUAGCGGUGAAAUGCUUAGAUAUCACGAAGAACUCCGAUUGCGAAGGCAGCCUACUAAACUGCCACUGACAUUGAUGCUCGAAAGUGUGGGUAUCAAACAGGAUUAGAUACCCCAGUA
rnacentral:rRNA from 1 species